CGGUUAGGGGAAUGAUGUACUACUACAGGGCACUCAAGAUGUUGGCUUUUCUCGAUUCUGCAUCGGAGAUGGACAUUAG